GUUUAUGGAGAUACCGCUGUGAACAUGCCCAAUCUCAUCUGAUUUCAGAAGCUGAGCAGGGUUGGACCUGGUUAGUGAUUGGAUGGAAGGAUAUGGAUAGUUUUGUGUUAAAUCUCAUAUUGAUGAGCU
rnacentral:rRNA from 1 species